UUUCAAAUUCGAGCUGCAAUUUUUAAGGAUCACAGCAGCACUUCCUUUACUUCAGGAAGAGGACAGGCACUGACAGAGCCUGAGUCACCACGAGUAACAACCAAACGUCACUGUGCCUCCCUUAGCAACAAGGCUCACUCGUAAGCGUUAAUUCCUCCUGCAAUCUCUGCAGGUUUUCCAUAGAAUCUGUGGUCACCUCAGACUGGCAGAGACGCGGUCUGUGGGCCGUGAGCUGCUCGCAGCCCUGAGCAAGGCAGGCCUUCAGCCAGCAGGGCCCGGCAGCUCCCAACGCCCGCCCGCACCGCGCCGUUAUCCCGAGCCCGAGGGCUGCCGCUGGCCUGCCAGCAGGAAGGAGCCCGAAAGGCCGGGAAGAAGGAAUAAUUCCCGGGGAUCGGACUUCACCCACACGGUGAGGGGACACACAAACGGUUGAGGUGGAUGCUGAAAUUAUCAUCAAGAGUUUCUUCAACCUCCUGUUUAUGCAUGCUCAAUAUAAUUCUUUAAAAGAA